UCUCUCCUACUUCACGAGCAAGGGGUCUGCUGUGUUCUGUGAGCCAGCACAGACACUACUGGGGCCAGAGCGCUGGGGUGCUGCCCUGCAAAUGAGUAAGGUGCAGGCAUGACAGCAGAGAAUGCAAGAGAAGGACCCUCUCCAGCAGGUCAAACUCGUAAUUCCUGGGACUUGGCAGGAGAAGAAUGAUGUCCAUGAAAGUGGCACCCUCAGAGGCUGAAAGAAGAUAGAAAUGUCUCUCUCUCUUUAUUAAAAUAUGCAGGGUCAGCUUCAACAGUUAUCUUUACCCAGACACUAAUUUCUCAUUAUUUACUGAGAGGUAUUUGCAUCAAACAAAGACGAAGGUUUUCAUCAAGCACCAUGAUGAGCAGUCAUUCUGAGACUACAACCUCCAGAGAUACUGUGAAAGACCUCACUCACCACGAUAGUUAAAAUAGGAGCAACACAAGCCUUAUGGUGCUCCAGACACAAGUGAGCAUAUGAGAAGAGAUGACCAUUAGUGAAUCCUGGUUUUCAAGGAAGGACUGAACUAGUUCACUCCCUGAUCUUCAGAUCUACUUUCAUGUUCUUGCAGAAGCACAAAGAUACUUCCUAUUUAAACAAAUACAUGCACCAUAUAUGGAGCUGAAAGUCCUUCAAAAUGGAGAAGGAUGACUCUACAACUAGUGACCCGGCUUAUGAAAUGUUCAUCAAAUAUUACUUCAUCAGAAAGGGCCUCAUUUAAACCAAGGUUUAAAAAUGUGGAGAUUUGUAAAGUUGAUCCAAAAAAAAAGAAUAAAA